rnacentral:misc_RNA from 1 species
GAAAUGCGAUAAGUAAUGUGAAUUGCAGAAUUCAGUGAAUCAUCGAAUCUUUGAACGCACCUUGCGCUCCUUGGUAUUCCGAGGAGCAUGCCUGUUUGAGUGUCAUUAAAUUCUCAACCUCACCAACUUUUGUUGUGUGAAGGCUUGGAUUUGGAGGCGUGCAGGUCCACACUUUUAGUGGUCUGCUCCUCUGAAAUGUAUUAGUGGGUUAGGCCCUCUAAUCUAUUGGUGUGAUAAUUAUCUACGCCGUGGAUUUGGGAAGCUACAUCAGACCUGCUUCUAACCGUCCUCACGGGGGACAACACUUGACAAUUUUGACCUCAAAUCAGGUAAGACUACCCGCUGAACUUAA